GUUGAGCAUUAUGUAAGAUUUUGUACAUUGGAAUGCAUUAUUGUCAGUAUGUUUAGUGGGAGUUCCCCACAAUGAUCUCUAGCAGUUUGGGGCACAACACACAGAGCUGAGCUGAGCUGAGCUUCCAUUGUUUUGGUCCCAGAGGAUGAAGUCACUGCUCAGGCAAGUUCUGAGAGAAUAAAGAUCACCAAAUCAUGUACAAGAAUUGGACCACCGGCCGUCACCGUCCUUAACAUGACACGCAUGGAGGACGACAUACAGAGCUGCUCCCUGCUACGCAAUGCAUGUCUGAAGUGUUCUUCAUGGAUACAUACAAAGACUUAUGGCAUUGUACGACAUAUAUGCAUAAUCAAUGGCCGAAAAAUUAAUGUUUUUGUCUUAUUUCUCCUUUAAAAUUAAACUUUCAAUAUAACUGCUUUAUUUCUCUUCACUUCUCCCUCUCAUUAUUUCUAUUAAAAAAUAGUGAAAUAGCCAUUAAAAUUUUAAUCACUAAUUAGUUGCUAUUUGAAAAUAAGGACCAAUUUCCUUCUAUUAUCUCCGCCACUCCCUCUCCCUCUCCCUUCCUCUCUCUCUCGUCUUCUUUCUUUCUUUCUCUUUAAUUUUGUACGACAACUCGCCAACAGCAUCAUAACUACUCACUGUGUCGAUCAUUCUCUUCUCACAACUACUCACUUUGUCCACUUACUAACUAGGGAAUGAAAAAUCCAUCCAACACAUGUAACCUUCGAGAAAAGGAAUCAACCUACCCAGCGAGCUAGUCAGGGCGUGCAUGCGUUGGUUUCUCUGAAAUUAUGAGAGAUGGAGACCUGCCGAUCAAAAUCCAGGAGGCACUUAUUCUGGAAAUUAAAUUAAAGCACAUAUUUCUUUUUAUUUUUAUUUUAAUUUAAAAUUUUUUGUCCUCCAAUGCUAAAGCUAUCAUUAAUCUCUUCUUCGGCAACAAGUGUCACCAUCUAUCGCCGCCUCAAUGGAAGUGCGCUUAACGUUGAUAGUGGCAGGCAGGAUUUGUGCCUUUGGAGAUAUGGGUUUCUUUGAUUUUGGCCUCUCUUUGUAGUUAAAGGAGAAAUGAGAGAGGUUAAGAAGUAAGUUUUCCUUAAAAAGCUUAGGGUUAUUUUUAGUUGAAACUUUGAUUUAUUUUCUUUAAUUGUCUUUGAAUGUAGCGGACUGAAAAUUUAAUGCAAUAAAUUUUUAUCGUUAAGAAAAAACAAAUGAAGGUAAUAAAAAAUAAUUUUAUA